GGAAAAUGAGUAGAAGGGAUAAACUAUGUCGUAAAGAGUAGAAGAGGGGGAUAGGUUAGAGAAGGAGCCGUCUUUACAGUGUACCCCGGAUAUAUGUACUGGAUGUGUUAAUGGACAGUGGACUACGUAAAGGAAGUGUGUAAUUUUUGUACAGUGUGCUUUUCAAACCAUGACGGAUAAUCAGGAGUUGAUCUAUGAAAUAAUGAUAGAAAAAACGGCCAAUUCGUAGUUACCGUCACCACAGGUAUGCCUAGCUAUCAGCAGUGACUGUUCGCGUUGUAAACAAACGCUGGUCAGAAAUUGCUGCCACUGCUGAUGCAAGUGGUACAACGGCGGCCAACACACUAUAAGACUGAAAGAGACACCCAAAACUGCUCCUAGCCAGACAACAGGAAAUACAGCCCCCCAUCCAUACCUCAUCGCCAAGUCCAAAAAAUCAAGUAUCCCCUCAGUCAAAGGUAGGUCAACCAUUAUUCUGUUCAUAUUAAUUACCCUUGGUUUUUAAGGGACAUUAGGUAUGGAAAUAACACACAGCUGAACUUUUAAGCAUUGCAGAUUUUUUUCAGGAAGAUAGGAUUAUUUUCUUUUUAAUUCGUAACAUUUUUUUUUCUCCCUUAAUUCAUUUUUUUUUCUCCCUAGGGAUAUUACGGGUGUCCUUGGUUGCAUGUUUUAAGAGUUGUACAGUAUCAUUGUGCACAAGGCAGGAACAUGCACUGUUUUUGAGUCAUUUGAAAAAUUAUAAGAGUUAUUCUGUAUGUAGGCACACUGAAACUGUUCUUGCUCUCAAAAACUUGUGGCCACACACACCCUCUUAUUUUUGUUGGUGUUUUUUUGGUAGCAGUGUACAGGAGCAUACGGUGGCCAAGGGUGAUAUUUUUGUACAAUGAAUAACCCCUGUAAUAUUACAUGUAUCAAAACUUAAAAACAAAUUCAGCACUUAAAUUGGCAUAUAUAUGAUGAAGUGGGAUGUAGGAUUCACAUUUAAAAAUAAAAUAAUCGAAUUUGGUUUGAGACUCCAUUUUUGGCCAUUUACAAAUCUGUGUCUACACAACAAAAGCUAGCUUUUCAUGUAGUCUAUUUUUGUACUCAGCCUAUGUGUAAAUAUUGUGAACAAGAGGCCCAAGGGCCUUAGCGGUCACCUGAGUUAUAUGAAAAUCAGCAUGUAAACUAAGUGAAAUACAAUACUUGUCAUGUCAUCAAAGGAAUUUUAAAAUAUUGGUAAAUGUUCCCUUUGGGGCCCCGCCCUAGCUUGGGGAUGGGGCAGAAAUUCCAGGAGCUUCAUUAUUGAGGGUCCCCCUUUCUCCUCGACAGUAAGCCCUCUAUUACAGAAUUGUUUUUACCCUUUGCAUGUAAGAUAGGUUUCCAUAACAGAAAUGCCCUUCACUGAUUGGUGAGCCUCCAUUACAGAGUUUCCUUUCUCCAGGAGAUGGUUGACUUAACUCUAGGGUGGGACCCUUCACAGCACAGCUGUCUUUCCCCAAGGAUGGGGACCUCCAUUGUGGAGUUGCUUUUACCCCAAUUGGGAGACAACUAU